UACGGAAGGCAGCAGUGGGGAAUAUUGCACAAUGGGCGAAAGCCUGAUGCAGCUAUGCCGCGUGUAUGAAGAAGGCCUUAGGGUUGUAAAGUACUUUCAUCGGGGAGGAAAAACAAAACUAAUAAUUUUAUUUCUUGACGUUACCCGAAAAAGAAGCACCGGCUAACUCCGUGCCAGCAGCCGCGGUAAUACGGAGGGUGCUAGCGUUAAUCAGAAUUACUGGGCGUAAAGAGCACGUAGGUGGUUUUUUUAAGUCAGAUGUGAAAUCCCUGGGCUUAACCUAGGAACUGCAUUUUGAAACUGAAAUACUAGAGUAUCGUAGAGGGAGGUAGAAUUCUAGGUGUAGCGGUGAAAUGCGUAGAUAUCUGGAGGAAUACCUGUGGCGAAAGCGGCCUCCUAAACGAAUACUGACACUGAGGUGCGAAAGCGUGGGGAGCAAACAGGGAUAGAUACC
rnacentral:rRNA from 1 species